CAGUGUUUUCCUAGCACAUGGAAGGCUAUGGUUUUGAUACCCAGAAAGAAAUAAUAUCUGUUUUGAGAUGGAAAGAAAACACCAAUUGUUAUUUGUUGGGGGGGGGAAUAUGCACCAACCAUACCCUCUUGCUGGCACAGGUACUUUAUGAAAAAGCAUCACUUAAAUGUAAAAGGUGGGUUUACUUUAUAUGUUGUGGGUAAGGAUAGGUUGAACUGAGAAGUCUCACGGCAGUGGGAUUGGGGGUGAACCAAGUUCUGCUAAGACUCCCCUUCUGCCUGCUCGUUCUUUUGUUAACGUGGUUCCAUGGACUCACAGGAAAGGUCUGCAAUGAAAUCAGAGGUUUUGUUUCCCAUCCUUAUGAUGUACAUGGGUAUUCAGAAAUAAUUCUUGAG
rnacentral:lncRNA from 1 species